CAGUGUCUGGUGGGUAGUUUGACUGGGGCGGUCUCCUCCUAAAGAGUAACGGAGGAGCACGAAGGUUGGCUAAUCCUGGUCGGACAUCAGGAGGUUAGUGCAAUGGCAUAAGCCAGCUUGACUGCGAGCGUGACGGCGCGAGCAGGUGCGAAAGCAGGUCAUAGUGAUCCGGUGGUUCUGAAUGGAAGGGCCAUCGCUCAACGGAUAAAAGGUACUCCGGGGAUAACAGGCUGAUACCGCCCAAGAGUUCAUAUCGACGGCGGUGUUUGGCACCUCGAUGUCGGCUCAUCACAUCCUGGGGCUGAAGUAGGUCCCAAGGGUAUGGCUGUUCGCCAUUUAAAGUGGUACGCGAGCUGGGUUUAGAACGUCGUGAGACAGUUCGGUCCCUAUCUGCCGUGGGCGCUGGAGAACUGAGGGGGGCUGCUCCUAGUACGAGAGGACCGGAGUGGACGCAUCACUGGUGUUCGGGUUGUCAUGCCAAUGGCACUGCCCGGUAGCUAAAUGCGGAAGAGAUAAGUGCUGAAAGCAUCUAAGCACGAAACUUGCCCCGAGAUGAGUUCUCCCUGAGACUUUAGGUCUCCUGAAGGAACGUUGAAGACGACGACGUUGAUAGGCCGGGUGUGUAAGCGCAGCGAUGCGUUGAGCUAACCGGUACUAAUGAACCGUGAGGCUUAACCUUACA
rnacentral:rRNA from 3 species